rnacentral:rRNA from 1 species
CCUACGGGAGGCAGCAGUGGGGAAUAUUGGGCAAUGGAGGAAACUCUGACCCAGCGACGCCGCGUGCGGGAUGAAGGCCUUCGGGUUGUAAACCGCUUUCAGUAGGGAAGAAGCGAAAGUGACGGUACCUACAAAAGAAGCACCGGCUAACUAUGUGCCAGCAGCCGCGGUAAUACAUAGGGUGCAAGCGUUGUCCGGAAUUAUUGGGCGUAAAGAGCUCGUAGGUCGUUUGUUACGUCGGAUGUGAAAACCUGAGGCUCAACCUCAGGCCUGCAUUCGAUACGGGCAAACUAGAGUUUGGUAGGGGAGACUGGAAUUCCUGGUGUAGCGGUGGAAUGCGCAGAUAUCAGGAGGAACACCAAUGGCGAAGGCAGGUCUCUGGGCCAAUACUGACACUGAGGAGCGAAAGUCUAGGGGAGCGAACAGGAUUAGAUACCCUGGUAGUCCAGACCGUAAACGGUGGGCACUAGUUGUGGGAACCUUCCACGGUUUCUGCGACGCACGACUACGACAUAGUACGCCCGCCGUCGGGUAGGUACGACGUACGCGAACGAAGUAAACUAACAAACGAAGUUAGUACGGCGUGAGACGUACGACGACGGACGACGACGAGGGAGGUAGG